UACAGAGGGGGCAAGCGUUGUUCGGAAUUACUGGGCGUAAAGGGCGCGUAGGCGGCCCGCUAAGUCGAACGUGAAAUCCCCGAGCUCAACUCGGGAACUGCGUCCGAUACUGGCGGGCUUGAAUCCGGGAGAGGGAUGCGGAAUUCCAGGUGUAGCGGUGAAAUGCGUAGAUAUCAGGAAGAACACCCGUGGCUAAGGCGGUCUCUAGUACGGUACUGACGCUGAGACGCGAAAGCGUGGGGGAGCGAACAGG
rnacentral:rRNA from 1 species